CUGGCGGCAGGCCUAACACAUGCAAGUCGAGCGGUAGCACAGAAGAGCUUGCUCUUUGGGUGACGAGCGGCGGACGGGUGAGUAAUGUCUGGGAAACUGCCUGAUGGAGGGGGAUAACUACUGGAAACGGUAGCUAAUACCGCAUAACGUCGCAAGACCAAAGUGGGGGACCUUCGGGCCUCAUGCCAUCAGAUGUGCCCAGAUGGGAUUAGCUAGUAGGUGAGGUAAUGGCUCACCUAGGCGACGAUCCCUAGCUGGUCUGAGAGGAUGACCAGCCACACUGGAACUGAGACACGGUCCAGACUCCUACGGGAGGCAGCAGUGGGGAAUAUUGCACAAUGGGCGCAAGCCUGAUGCAGCCAUGCCGCGUGUAUGAAGAAGGCCUUCGGGUUGUAAAGUACUUUCAGCGAGGAGGAAGGCGAUAAGGUUAAUAACCUUGUCGAUUGACGUUACUCGCAGAAGAAGCACCGGCUAACUCCGUG
rnacentral:rRNA from 1 species